GUUAAAAAGGUAACAUGUAGUUUGUCCCAAGUUGCCCACCUCCUCACCCAGAGCAAGACCUCCACCUCCUCACCCAGAGCCAGACCUCCACCUCCUGUCGCAAGUCCUCCAGAACAGCUGAAAGGCGAGGCUGAGAGGCUGGGGACCGGAGGCUUGUGGUGCCAGGAUGGACCGGAGACUGAGGCUGGAGACCAGGGGCCUGCAGCACCGGACCAGAGGACCAGGAAUCCAUGGCUGAAGGAGCUGAUGGAGGAGCCGUGCUGAAGGCCCUGCCUGGUGGAGGAGCUGAUGGAGGCCCUGCCUGGUGGAGGAGCUGAUGGAGGCCCUGCCUGGUGGAGGAGCCGUGCUGAAGGCCCUGCCUGGUGGAGGAGCUGAUGGAGGCCCUGCCUGGUGGAGGAGCUGAUGGAGGCCCUGCCUGGUGGAGGAGCCGUGCUGAAGGCCCUGCCUGGUGGAGGAUGUCUGUCGUGGGGUAGAUGGAGCCUGAAUCUGAAGUGAUCAUCACACUCACUGACACUUCUCGUAGAAUACUGCUACCACAAACUAACAGCGUUUGUACCAUUUAUACCAGACAACUACAUCUGUUUUAACACAUGUUGCAGCAAGACUUGCUGUUUGUUCCAGAACUGGACUCGGUCUGAGGAGAGCUGCUGGAGGAGCUGAGACGCUGGAGGACGACUAGGAAUCGACCAACAA